ACAAGGGAAAUGUCUUAGAGGCCUCCCAGAUUUUGAAGAGAUGUGAAGCAUAGUAAGGAACCAGAGAGAAAGAGACAGAGAGAGAGACUCCUGAAGAAGGUUGACUAUGUUGAGUUUGAAGUGACAACAACACAGCCUAGCUAGGAGAAGCAUCUAGCUCACAAUGUGAUCUUGAGGCUCAAUUUGUGCUAAAAUUUGGUCCAAAAGACAACUUUAUACAGAUGUUUUGCUGGCCUGGAGAACUUACAGAAGAGUCUUCAGUUGAAGAAGAAAAAUAUUAAUAUAUAAGCCUUGCUUAUGAACUUAAGAGACAAAUAAGAAAACUAUUCUAUUUUCUCACGGAGACCCAAAAAGUGAUACUGACCUUCCCUGUGGGUCAAAAUUUGCAUCUCCCAUCUGUGACUUCCAAUCAUAAAAAACCUGAAAUAUGGAUAUCGUUUAAUAUUUUGACUUGACUAAUUACUGUCAACUUGUGAGGUUACAAGCAAAACUGCAAUGAAUAAACAUGAUUAUUAUUUAAACCAAGCAGAUCGCCAAGGCCAGUUAUGAUACAAUAAAUGACCAAGUUUCAUACCAUCAUUUACUAUAAAAGAAAGGUUUCUUACAAGACAUGAACUUUUGUGGAGCAGGAACUGCCCUACAUGAAAGAAAAGUUGGCUUUGGCUUUUAGGACUGAAAACCUAAGUGUGCAGAGAGUGGGCCAAAAUCAGUGCAUAGCGUCAGCACUAUAAAAUAGUUCUGCAGCUUUUUCCAACAGCGCAGCCUUCAAGUCAUCCGGGAUGAAAAGUAUUGUGGCUGUUGGGGGAUGCUCAUGGAGUCAAACACAUCCAUCUUCCAGAAACACAUCUCUUGGGCUCCAUAUCUUCAAAUGCUGGACUGGGUAAGAUAGUAAACCCAAUCCACUCCUGAUUCUUGUGCUCUUACUGCAGGCAAGCUCUUAGAGGUGAGUCUAAGUGCAGUCCAAGAAGAAAUUAAUCAGAAUGCAUACAUUAAAAAGGCACUGCUUUCUCCCAGAGAGCCUAGCACCAUGCCUGACAACAGAUUCUGGGUGACUUUACAAAAAGCUGCUGAAGUACAUCCUCCUUAAUCAUUAACUUGCAGAAGAAGUGAGAAAAUGUGUGCAUUUUAGAGAAACAGUGGGGAGAAGCUUCUGAAACUAUACAAAUUCAGGA
rnacentral:lncRNA from 12 species